rnacentral:rRNA from 1 species
GUCCUAGCCGUAAACGUUGGGUGCUAGGUGUGGGCGGAUAUCGACCCCGUCCGUGCCGAAGCUAACGCAUUAAGCACCCCGCCUGGGGAGUACGGCCGCAAGGCUAAAACUCAAAGGAAUUGACGGGGGCCCGCACAAGCGGCGGAGCAUGUGGCUUAAUUCGAAGCAACGCGAAGAACCUUACCUGGGCUUGACAUGCGGGGUGAAACCGUAGAAAUACGGUGCUCCUCGGAGCCCGCACAGUUGGUGCAUGGCUGUCGU